AACGAACGCUGGCGGCGUGCCUAACACAUGCAAGUCGAACGCGAAAAGCAGUAAUGCUGAGUAGAGUGGCAGACGGGUGAGUAACACGUAAAUGACCUACCAUAAACACCGGGACAACCGUUCGAAAGGAUGGCUAAUACUGGAUAAGCCCACGCUUUUUGGGAGUGAGGGAAAAUGAUUGGGACCUAUCGGCCAAUCGGUUUGUGAAGGGUUUGCGUCCCAUCAGGUAGUUGGCGGUGUAAAAGACCACCAAGCCAAAGACGGGUAGCUGGUCUGAGAGGAUGAUCAGCCACACUGGAACUGAGACACGGUCCAGACUCCUACGGGAGGCAGCAGUGGGGAAUCUUGCGCAAUGGACGAAAGUCUGACGCAGCAACGCCGCGUGGGUGAUGAAGGUCUUCGGAUCGUAAAGCCCUGUCGGAGGGGAAGAUGACUAGUUGCAAUAAUAAGGCAAAUAGUUGACGGUACCCUUAAAGGAAGCACCGGCUAACUCUGUGCCAGCAGCCG
rnacentral:rRNA from 1 species